rnacentral:rRNA from 1 species
GGAGAGUUUGAUCAUGGCUCAGGAUGAACGCUAGCGGCGGGCCUCAUCCAUGCAAGUCGAGGGGCAGCAAGACAUUUCGAUGUUGUUGGCGACCGGCGUACGGGUGCGUAACGCGUAUGUAAUCUGCCUUGUACAGGAGAAUAGCUUUCAGAAAUGAGAAUUAAUUCUCCAUAUACUCUUAGUAGCACAUGCUGUUAGGAGGAAAGCUCCGGCGGUACAAGAUGAGCAUGCGUCCUAUUAGCUUGUUGGUAAGGUAACAGCUUACCAAGGCAACGAUAGGUAGGGGUUCUGAGAGGAAGAUCCCCCACACUGGCACUGAGAUACGGGCCAGACUCCUACGGGAGGCAGCAGGAAGGAAUAUUGGUCAAUGGGCUAACGCCUGAACCAGCCACGCCGCGUGCAGGAUGAAAGCCUUCAAGGUUUUAAACUGCUUUUGUACGGUAACAAAAACCCUCUGAGGAGGAUAUUGAGUGUACCGUAAGAAUAAGCACCGGCUAACUCCGUGCCAGCAGCCGCGGUAAUACGGAGGGUGCAAGCGUUAUCCGAAUUUACUGGGUUUAAAGGGUGCGUAGGUGGCGCAUUAAGUCAUAGGUGAAAUCCUGGUGCUUAACAUCAGAACUGCCUUUGAUACUGAAGCGCUUGAGUCAAGAAGAGGUAAGCAGAACUCAUGGUGUAGCGGUGAAAUGCACAGAUACCAUGAAGAAUUCCAAUAGCGAAGGCAGCUUACUGGUCUUGUACUGACACUGAAGCACGAAAGCGUGGGGNGCAAACAGGAUUAGAUACCCUGG